rnacentral:rRNA from 1 species
UACGUAGGGGGCUAGCGUUGUCCGGAUUUAUUGGGCGUAAAGAGCGUGUAGGCGGCCAGGUAGGUCUGCUGUGAAAACUCGAGGCUCAACCUCGAGACGUCGGCGGAAACCAUCUGGCUAGAGUCCGGAAGAGGAGAGUGGAAUUCCUGGUGUAGCGGUGAAAUGCGCAGAUAUCAGGAGGAACACCGGUGGCGAAGGCGGCAUCCUGGACCAACACUGACACUGAGGAGCGAAAGCCAGGGGAGCAAACGGG